rnacentral:rRNA from 1 species
GACGUAGGGCGCGAGCGUUGUCCGGAUUUAUUGGGCGUAAAGAGCUCGUAGGCGGCUUGUCGCGUCGACUGUGAAAACCCGGGGCUCAACCCCGGGCCUGCAGUCGAUACGGGCAGACUAGAGUGCGGUAGGGGAGACUGGAAUUCCUGGUGUAGCGGUGAAAUGCGCAGAUAUCAGGAGGAACACCGGUGGCGAAGGCGGGUCUCUGGGCCGAUACUGACGCUGAGGAGCGAAAGCGUGGGGAGCGAACAGG